rnacentral:rRNA from 1 species
AAUAAAUACAAAUAAAAAUUAUUAUUAAAAGUUAAAAUAAAUUUAAUAAUAUAUAAUAUAAUUUAUUGGGUUAAAUUUUAAAUUAUAAAAAUUAUUAUAAAAAUAAAUAUUUUAAGCUUAGAAAUUUUUGUGAUAAACUAGGAUUAGAUACCCUAUUAUAAAAAAUGUAAAUUUAAAUAAUAGAGUAGUAAUAGUUAUGUUCUUAAAACUUAAUAAAUUUGGCGGUAUUUUAAUCUAUUCAGAGGAACUUGUUUUAUAAUUGAUAAUCCUCGUUAAAUCUUACUUAGUUUAUUAAUUUGUAUACCAUCGUCAUAAGAAUCUCUUAAAAAAGAAAAAAUUUUCUUAAAAACUUAUUAGUUAAAAUGUCAGAUCAAGGUGCAGUUUAUAAUUAAGAAAAAAUGAGUUACAAUAAAUUUAUUUAUAUGAAUUUUAAAUUUAAAUAUUUAAAUGAAGGUGGAUUUGAUAGUAAAAUAAACAAUAAAAUUUAUUUGAUUUUAGUUCUAAAAUAUGCACAUAUCGCCCGUCGCUCUCGUUAUUUAAAAUGAG